UCAGUCGACUCCUACGGGGAGGCAGCAGUAGGGAAUCUUCCACAAUGGGCGCAAGCCUGAUGGAGCAACACCGCGUGAGUGAAGAAGGGUUUCGGCUCGUAAAGCUCUGUUGUUAAAGAAGAACACGUAUGAGAGUAACUGUUCAUACGUUGACGGUAUUUAACCAGAAAGUCACGGCUAACUACGUGCCAGCAGCCGCGGUAAUACGUAGGUGGCAAGCGUUAUCCGGAUUUAUUGGACGUAAAGAGAGUGCAGGCGGUUUUCUAAGUCUGAUGUGAAAGCCUUCGGCUUAACCGGAGAAGUGCAUCGGAAACUGGAUAACUUGAGUGCAGAAGAGGGUAGUGGAACUCCAUGUGUAGCGGUGGAAUGCGUAGAUAUAUGGAAGAACACCAGUGGCGAAGGCGGCUACCUGGUCUGCAACUGACGCUGAGACUCGAAAGCAUGGGUAGCGAACAGGAUUAGAUACCCUGGUAG
rnacentral:rRNA from 1 species